AUUGAACGCUGGCGGCAGGCCUAACACAUGCAAGUCGAGCGGAGCGGCGGACGGGCGAGUAAUGCCUAGGAAUCUGCCUGGUAGUGGGGGAUAACGUCCGGAAACGGGCGCUAAUACCGCAUCCUAUCAGAUGAGCCUAGGUGGGAUUAGCUAGUUGGGGGGGUAAAGGCCUACCAAGGCGACGAUCCGUAACUGGUCUGAGAGGAUGAUCAGUCACACUGGAACUAGGAAACGGUCCGGACCCCUACGGGAGGAAGCAGGGGGGAAUAUUGGACAAUGGGCGAAAGCCUGAUCCAGCCAGGCCGCGUGUGUGAAGAAGGUCUCCGGAUUGUAAAGCACUUUAAGUUGGGAGGCGUUACCAACAGAAUAAGCACCGGCUAACUUCGUGCCAGCAGCCGCGGUAAUUC
rnacentral:rRNA from 1 species